UACGGGGGGGGCAAGCGUUGUUCGGAAUUACUGGGCGUAAAGGGCGCGUAGGCGGCCUACUAAGUCGGACGUGAAAUCCCUCGGCUUAACCGGGGAACUGCCUCUGAUACUGGAUGGCUUGAGAUUGGGAGAGGGAUGCGGAAUUCCAGGUGUAGCGGUGAAAUGCGUAGAUAUCUGGAGGAACACCGGUGGCGAAGGCGGCAUCCUGGACCAACACUGACGCUGAGGAGCGAAAGCCAGGGGAGCAAACGGG
rnacentral:rRNA from 1 species